CCAUGUAGAUUGUUUAAAAGGUGGCAUUGCCCAGCAUCUUUAACAGAAGGGAACUAUCCUCCCUGGCUGUGGUUCUCCAGGAAGGCACUGAUGUCUCUUCCUCAGAAACAAGGGCUGUCACACCACAGUGUUGCUGAACCAGCAUUUUCCAGCCAUACAAAAAGCCCCGUGUGGGACAGCCCCAAACACUGCAAUGUGAAAAAUGCACUGUUACCCCAGAGUCUGAUGAAAGAGAUGUGUGGACAGAUUUUCCCUGGACAAAUGCUAAGCAAUGAGAUGAGGGUGAAAGUACAAAGGUGUAUUGGCUGAAGUUUUUUGAGAACUGGCCCUGUAAGGGAAAUUGUUGAUCACAGCCUGAAGCUCUGAUUAACCAUCUGAGGCAAGCAAUGGGUCAGCUGCAGGAGCACAGGUGAAGGUAAUUCAGCUGUGCUCCUCGAAGGGGUGGAACUUGACUCCACCUUUCCCUAAUCCCACUUAAGGGCUGACCACCACUAAGGUAGCAUCUAUUUCUGGAGAUUGCUCCUUUGUGUAGUUUUUGUGGUGAACCUCAACAUUUGUGAGUAUCUACCUUGAUUGAAAGCCUCAGCAAUGAGAUACUUUCCUGCAGCUGUGCCAGCAUGAUGGCUACACCUCCCGUUUCAUGCAGUGCAGUUAUUCACUUAAAAGAUGCAGAAUACUCCACUUUGACAGGUGCUUCCUCCUCCACCAAGCCCUGGACCAGGCUUUGUUAGCUGUUACAAGGCUGGAUGUGUGCAGAGCAUGGGGUGAAUGGUUGCUUCCUCCACAGCUCCAAGCUUGGAGCCUUGGGGCUGCCCUAGGAGCCAGCCCCAGGCUGGGAGUUCUGGCAGGGAAGAGCUGCAGAGUCUGGUUCCAAAUGCCGCACCUGUCACCAUGCCAGGGUACGACUGCACCCCUCUGCACCUUCUGCUUCUCAAGAUGAAGUGACCCAAGCCCUGGGCUUUCCAUCCCACAUCCAUCUCACAGAAGUCCGUUGCAACUCUUGUCACAAGCAAGGGGCGCCACUGCAGUGCACGGUACUCCAAGUGAAGUCUCAACAUGAGCUUCUACAAAACCGAGUGCUGCUUUCGCUCCACUGGAGGCAUGUCAUCGGGGAUAGAUAGCCUCAGACAGGAUUUGCCUUUCAUGGUUGGAUCACGCUUGUGACAGUAUUCAUCCUGACUGGCUCAGUGACCCAGUGCUUUCUCCACACUUUCAUUUCCAGCUGAGAGAUUACCAGGUUUUAGUGCAAAUUCUUCACAUUAGUCUUCGAAUUAUCUUGUCCUUUAUUUCACUGAAGUUUAUUGCACUGUCAUCCUCUUUGGGACUGUUGGUUUUUCUGCCUGACAUCUUCAUCCUCUGCCACACAGGAGAUGCUUCCCACUUUCAUGUCACCAGAAAAAUUUCAAAGAAACCAUUAUUUUUAAGAAACAACUUAGUGUUUCUAUGGUUCACUGUGUUUUUUUUUCUGUGUUAGUUGAUAAUUUAUUUAAUUAGAUAGUUCCUAUUUUUUUUAAGAAGAGCAUAGUUGUUUUUUUUUUCUUUAUUUUGCUCUUUGAAGAGUGAGGGUUGCUUUAUAUCUGAGGCUAAUUUGGAUCUAUACGGCAGAUGUUUCACCUCCCUGUUUUCAUCAGUAUUAGCACUGUCCAAUGCUCUCAUCUCCUGUAGUUCCAUUACAGACUGUUUAUUUGGUGUGUUUUUUCUCCUAUUAUUUUUAUAUUAGAUCUCCAGUCAUGGAUAUCAAAGAAGUUGCUUCUAUCCCCUUCAUUUCCAAGUUAAAAUUCUUAAGCUUAAAUUCUCUGUGAUUUAAAACAGCUUCAAGCCAUGAGGCACAGUGUUGCCAGCAGAUAGGCAGCUUUCUAUUUUUGCACAGAUACACAGAAUCAACCACUCAGUGUAUUUGCACGAGUGAAAGAGUUGAAAAUGCAGUUAAGUGGUGCAUUUCUUUUUUAAAGUCAGGACAUGUGCUAAAGGAAGACUGAAAUCGGUACCUUUUACCUGUGUGCACUUGUGGAAAAAAAGACCACAAUAUCAUGUUUAAUUUACCCACAGAUUCAAGCAACGCUCAGUCCUGGAGAGGCUUUUAUACAGUAGGAUAAAGGGGUCUGUGACGACUCAAUGAGAGAGGAUCAGUAUUUGCAAUGCUUAUACAACCCCCCAAAAAUGCCUUUGGGUUUUUCAGGGAGCCAAACUCCCAUGACAUUCUGGGGUUGCCCAUCAAUGGCAGUUGGAAUCAGGUGGGUGGCUAAGAGAAAGUGGUUGGUGUUGGUGAGGGUAUCAUGUUCCGUGCCUACACGUGCCCAGGACCGAGAGGUUCCCACCAAGGGAAGCAGAAUAGCACCUUGUGCUCUGCUAUUUGCCAGGAACAGCUCUCAAGCUAUUGCAUUACUGUUGAGAGAAUAGAAAGGAUAUGCGAGAUGGCCCACAAGCUCUCAUGCUGCGUUGGAGACACAACUGCUAUUUGUCUGUAGAUGCAUCCACUAUUACUCUUCAGCUGACAUUCUUGAUUUGUGGCCCUUAAUAUCUCCAAAGUAAUGCUCUUGCUAAUUGUAGUCAUGCUAUUGAUUUUCAUAGAGGCAUUUUAUUCCAUAUGAAUCCAUUGCAUUCAAACCAAUUAAUCAUGCAUCACUAACUUAACUGCAGUGAUGGUUUUAAUGUGAAUAUUCAAGUAGUGCUUCUCUUCAGGGUUUGUCAACAGCUUCCAUCUGAAGACAAUUUCAAAGCCUUAAGAAACAGCUUAAUAUAGUUAUUGGCUGUUCACCAGUUCAUAAGACCCUGCCCCAGCUGCCUCAUAUAUUUUAUGCAGAACAAAAUCUUCUAAUUAACUAGAUGAAAGAAAAGAAUUAACAUACCACCUAGGGGAUAGAACAUACAUGAUUAUUAAGCAUUAUAAAAAAAUGAAAAAGGCAUACCCAGCUCAAAAAAGGGGAUUAAAAUCAAGCCAAGCAGGGGGAGAAAGCCUGCUUUACACUGCAAUGGGGAAAUUAAAGAUGAAGGGUGCAGGCCAGCUGUUUUCUGCAAAAGACACUGGAACGAUUUGGUGGAUUUAAGGCAUUUCGGAGAUUUUGGAAACAACAGUGUGUGCUGUGUGAGUUCCUCUGACCAUUUAUGUUUCUCCCCCUUUGAGGACUUGGCUUGGGAGGUUAUCUCGGACAUCCUGCAUGCAAUACUGCAGUGCAGUAGUCCUUCCCUCUUGCCCUCCCUGACCCUGCCCAGGCCUCAUGGGAUCUCAGGGCAUGUGACCUACCCCAACUUUUCCCUUCCUUACUGUCAGUUCUGGUAUGGGCUGAACCUUUGAGAAAUCUCAUAACUUCUCUAUGUCUACAGACUUCAGAUGCUUCAGCAAUAAAGCUCACUGCUGCAUCAGUGAUAGCCAAGUUGUUAUCACGCCCACCCACCUACUUCUCCCAAGACGUUUGAACAGGCAGGGAAAAGAAGGAUGAUGGAUGGAGCCAGAGCAGUCAUUGCAUCCAGCCACUCCAAAUACAGACACUAUUACAGAAGUGCUGAAUAGGGACUGAGGGUAAGAGGUACUUGCAUUCCAUGUACAUCAUGACAAAUUUUAUGAUAUAGAUAACAGGGCUACUUGGGGUUGAUCCAUCCCACUUUCUCUGACAUCCUUUUUUUCACCUGUAGAAACAGUGAUGUCCACUAGGACAUUUUUGUGCUCAUUCUGAAGUAAGUGCAAGUUUUUUACUGCAUGAAGAAAGGUGUUUGGUCUCUAGUGGACGAUAGUCACAUUAUGGGUUUGCACUUCCACAAAGCUAUUCGAACACAUGAGGGAAUAAUUUGUCGCCUCAAUAUCAGCAGCCUAAUUAGAAUUAGUCCUAACAAUGGAACGUACUCACUUAGUCACACACCUAUGGAAUACAGACCUUAAACAUACUAGCAUAAGACAGGAGGUUAGGGUGUUCAUUUCAGACCAUACGAGACCAACCUGAAUCAUAUGAAAAGCCUUGGAAUAAUUUUUGAAGAAGAAAUAAUGAAAGGUGUGAGGAUGGAUGGAAAAUUAAGGCAGGAUACCUGUCAGAUGAGCUUUGUAUCUUUCUUGGAAAUCAUAAUUGAUAUUUUUAACUGUUCUCAUUAUGCAUUGCUAAGAUCAAACUCUCAUUCAUCUAGAUGUCUGUAAAACAUCUGCUAUACAGCCACACAGGAAAUUAUUCUGAGAAGAAUGGGUAUAAGCCAUGUAGUGUGAGUAGGGAUGCUUGAAGGGAGAACGUCAACAGGAUGUACUGAAACGAGCAGUGUGAGACUGGAAGGGGACAGCAAGAUUCUUGGGGACUGGAUCUAGUAUAGUGUUGUUGCUAUUAUCAGUGUAAAAAGUGGAUGAGAGCUAAUGAGAUUUGCCAAGCACGCAGUCCUCAAUAGAGAGGAGACAGUUUGUUAUAUAGAGAGAUUACCCCAGGUACAGGAGGAUUUGGAAAGGAGGAGAGCUGUAACACACAAGGCCAUGCACUUCAGCAGAAAUAAUAAAUGUUGCUAUAAAGCUGAGAUUCAUUCAGCUGGCAAAAAAAAAAAAAAAAAAAGCCACCAAAAUAAUGUGUGACUAUAUCUGCAUGUGUACUUCAUGGAAUCACAGAAUGGCUGAGAUGGGAAGGGACCUCUGGUGGUUCAACCCCUGCUUAAUGUAGAACAUCCAUAGCAGGGUGCCCACGGUCAAAUGUAGAUAUUCACUCAUGCAAAUGCAUGUGCUCUUAGCCUUGCAGACAAGGAAGCCAAGGGAAAUGUUGUGACUGAGAACACUGACUGUCACUGGGGUUGCCAACCACCUGUGUGAAAGUUGAAUUUUGACUAGACUGGACACAAUGGAGAGGACUUUCAGGAAGAGCAGAGCUAUUGGCUGCACUUAGCAAAGAGGACAAGGACAGCUGGGUUUGUUGAGCCAAUCCAAGCCCUCGGGAAUGAUGAGGCUCCUCUACACCAAGGAAAAGUUACUUCAGAUAAAACACAAAAACAGCAGAAGAAUAGCAUGAACUAGACACUGAAAACAAAAGAGAGAUUGGAAGUCAGGAGGUAGUUUUUGACCACUAAAGUCAACAGAAACUACAAAGUGAGACCAAGACAGUCUCAGAUGGGAUUUGUGACCCAGUGUGUUGGACGAUAAGACGAUGCAGUAAUCCUGUCUGGGUUUAUAUACACAGGAGAGCCACAGACUUCAAGUGGCCCCAGUUCCACUGUGAACAUCUUGUGUACCUCUAUUAUCCACAAACCACUUAUGGUAUUAAAAUACAUUACAGGAAGAAGCCCUUCAUCUAAGGUUUCUAACAGAGCCUUUAAAUGCGUUCUCUUUACUUCUACUGUCCAUUUAAAAUAAAUCAUGUCCAUUUAAAAUAAUUAAAUAAUCUGUAUAUCAAGUAUUUCUGUUCAUUUCAUGGUGUAUCAGUAAAACAGUAAUGUGCCUCUUGCAGGCACACUUGUUUAUUAAUUUUUGCGUGAUAUCUAAAGGAGAAUAAGAUAAAUAAGAACUGUUGUUCUUAUUAUUUAACAACAAUAUGGAAGAGAAAUCCUGAGACCUCAAUAGGAAACAUAUACCAAGCCACCUCUUCCGUGGGGUGACCAGACACAAAACAAAGCCAUAAUCUUCUACAGUCACAGUAGAAAAGAACACUUUCUAAACUCAGAAUGAGGCUUUACAAAGCCUAUAUGCCAAUAGUAGCCUAAGAACCACCUCACACAACUAUUCAUUUCUUCUUAAAGGAAAAAUGGUUAUUGUGAAAAUAUCCAACUACUUCAGUUGAAGUUUUUUACAAGAGAAAAUCCUUUUCAUUUGAAGGAGGAACCACACUUUGAUAUAUGUAUGGAAGAUACUGAGAUAUGUCUUCAACAUUAUCUCAGUGUGAGUAGAGAUGCUGACUCACUGGAGCAUCUCUCCUGAGAGGUAGCUUCUGGCUUCUUUACAGCUAGUAGCAGUGUUAUGCUCUGAAGUGUUAUUACAAUUACAGCACUGAAGGCAUGUCAUGAUAACAAGAGCUAAGAUUUUGUAUGUAUUUAUGAAAUUCUACUUAUCUCAGUGGGUAGUAACAUAUCCUCAGGUACAGAAGAAGGAAUCUUCAAUGCAUUAAUAUUGAUAGCAUUAUUUGUGUCUUAGAAUUAUGAAUGUGGGUCGUUAAAAAAAAAAAAUCUUAGCACUUAAGAAGUUCUAUGUUGCUUCAAAGAUAAUCCUCCAGGGAUAAAUCCUCCUGUCAGCCUCAAAGAGCUUCACAGAGUGCAUAAACAUAAGAGCAGGAGGCUGAAGGGAGAGUGUUGAGGAUGUCGUAUUUACUCUUUGUAACUAUGACUCUUGUCUAAACUGUAGUUGGUUUAUUCAGACUUGGCAUUUUGUUUCAAAGGAUGGAAGAAGUCAAUCCAAGGCUCUGUUCUGCCUGGUUUGGUCAGAGAAAUAGGAGUGCACAUGGCACAUAAGAAGGGAGUCAAAAGAGAUUGCUUGCACUUCUUAUUUCUUCUUUCCUCCCCCCCC